AGUGAAUAUAGGACGUCCAACUUAACUUGGAGUCCGAACUCUCACUUUCUAACCCUGUGCACUUGUUUGGGAUAGUAACUCUCGCAAGAGAGCGAACUCCUAUUCACUUAUAAACACAAAGUCUAUGAAUGUAUUAAAUUUUAUAACAAAAUAAAACUUUCAACAACGGAUCUCUUGGCUCUCGCAUCGAUGAAGAACGCAGCGAAAUGCGAUAAGUAAUGUGAAUUGCAGAAUUCAGUGAAUCAUCGAAUCUUUGAACGCACCUUGCGCUCCAUGGUAUUCCGUGGAGCAUGCCUGUUUGAGUGUCAUGAAUACUUCAACCCUCCUCUUUCUUAAUGAUUGAAGAGGUGUUUGGUUUCUGAGCGCUGCUGGCCUUUACGGUCUAGCUCGUUCGUAAUGCAUUAGCAUCCGCAAUCGAACUUCGGAUUGACUUGGCGUAAUAGACUAUUCGCUGAGGAAUUCUAGUCUUCGGACUAGAGCCGGGUUGGGUUAAAGGAAGCUUCUAAUCAGAAUGUCUACAUUUUAAGAUUAGAUCUCAAAUCAGGUAGGACUACCCGCUGAACUUAAGCAUAUCAAUAAGCGGAGGAAAAG
rnacentral:rRNA from 1 species